GAUGCAGCCAUUAAAAAAAAACAAAUCCACACCAACAAAUCCCCACCGAGAAGCUCUCCACUGCGUGUACUUUUAUUCUACAUCUCCAUUCCUCUGGAGCAGCGGUGCUCUUCUCCUCUUCUAUCUAUCCAUCCAUCUAGCGAGCCCACGAAACCCAUCAUUCCAUCAGCGCCGCUCUUCUCUAUAUCCGUGCUCCAGCCACACCACACCCACGCGCCCGUCUCUUCCACAGCCCACGCUGUGGCGUUCCCCUCUAUCUUCUUGCCCGUGGCGCCCGGAUCGAGCAUGGAUGCGCACGGUUGUAUCUCCCGCAACCGAUGGCUGCUUCGUGUUCGUUGGCCGGUUGCAGCGCGACUUUGGCUGGGUCUGCGCGCACGGGGCUGGCUGGGCCUAUGGCAGAGGCGCGACAGUGGUGGCCUGCUCAGGGUCGACCUCGGUGGCUGCUUGACGGGGCUGCGUGGAUCUGUGCCGGCGCUCCGGAUCACCGUGGAUCCGCAACGGCAUCCUCCUCAUCCUGAUUCUCUCCAUCGUCACCAGCACGGCAUCGAGGUCCGCACUGGUGGGUGACAGGUGCACGGUGGGCUCGCAGUCCCCGUGCGGCGCCGGGAUGUGAUGCGCCUCCUGCUCCCUGCUCCGCCACCUCGUCCACCCCAAUCGCCGCGGCAGCCUCCAACACUGUCGGUCUGCAUGCGAAGAAACAGAGGACACGCGAAAGGGAUUUUUCGUUUUACCGAAUCGUUUUUCCCAAAGCAGCCACUUACGUAGGGAGUGCAGGUUCAAUUUCUGAAAAAGCGAAGGGCCUUUUCAUAAAAACAACGUGACGGUGAACCUGACAGAGUCAAUCUGUGCUUUAUUAUUAGAGAAAGAUUUUUUUA